rnacentral:rRNA from 1 species
AUACGUAGGGGGCGAGCGUUGUCCGGAAUGAUUGGGCGUAAAGGGCGCGUAGGCGGCGCGGUAAGUCUGGAGUGAAAGUCCUGCUUUCAAGGUGGGAAUUGCUUUGGAUACUGCCGCGCUUGAGUGCAGGAGAGGUUAUCGGAAUUCCCGGUGUAGCGGUGAAAUGCGUAGAGAUCGGGAGGAACACCAGUGGCGAAGGCGGGUAACUGGACUGCAACUGACGCUGAGGCGCGAAAGUGUGGGGAGCAAACAGGAUUAGAUACCCUGGUAGUCCACGCUGUAAACGAGGAAUGCUAGGUGUAAGAGGUAUCGACCCCUUUUGUGCCGGAGUCAACACAAUAAGCAUUCCGCCUGGGGAGUACGGCCGCAAGAAUGAAACUCAAAGGAAUUGGCGGGG